GCUUGUCACACUGGGCCUGGGCUCGGUGCAGCAGGAAGAUCUGCUCCUCUUUGGUGAACACGUCAUCUGCAUCUACCUGCCAAGGGUACAGGCGAAUGGAUGGAAUGUCCCAGGAUGGAUUCUCACAGGAUCCCGGCUGCCUGCUGGGGACCUGGACGGCGGUGGGGGGCGGAUACGGAGUGGUCAACUCCGGGGACAUAAACAGCCUGGAUUCCUUCAUGUCCUAGAGCCCCCAGAGACUUUGGGAGUCACCAAUUUCCACCCUGACCCAGCUCCCCAGUGAGUGCCUCACACCUGCUGCGGCUCUCUGCCCUCACGUUAAGGAAGGAAGAGGGAAUACCACGGAGCCACCCACGACCGGCAGCACCGUGGUUACCGUCAACACCACCACCAUGACCCCCAGCAGCUCCACCACGACUGCACAUCCCCACGGCCACCUCCUUUGCCAUCAGGUGCCCCUCCACCCUUCCCAAAACCAGCCGGAAGCGCACCCUACCUUCGCCAGCUCAUGCAGUGCUGGUGAGUGACAGGGUUCCCAGCAGGGUGACAGCUGGAGGCCCUGACUAGAAGCAGGCAGGCUGAGAAGGCCAGAGGCUGACGGCCAGCACCCCUCUCUCGGGUCUGCUCAGCUCCCACCCUCCCAUGGCAGGGAGGAGACACACCCCUUCUCCAGGUCUUGCUUCCGUGGUGGGGCCGGGAAUGCCCAGCAGGCAGAGUUUGUGCCUCCAGCACCUCCGAACCCUCAAACUCCUCAAUGCAUCUGCAAGGAGAGGGGCCUCCCUCGGGCCCCAGCGACAGUCCCCACUGCAGCAGGAGGGGCGUGGCCGCACGCAGCCAGGUAGAGCACCCAGCUAGCUCCCCGCCUGGCCUCGGGCCGGCAGCACCCUCCCUUUGUCCAAGGAGAUUCUGCCUCCAGCACUGGAGCUCACAUCCCACCUCCACCACCAAUUGGCUUUGCGCUGCUGGGAAAGUUGCUGAGCUCCCGUGCCUCGGUCUUCCCGUUAAUCGCGGUGCGGCUGUGAGGAUCAGACGAGAGACUGCGUGACCGCUGGGCAGGAGCUGGGCUCAGGAAGAGGCGGUUGCUGCUGCCGCGGUUACUGUUGUCAGCUGCAGCAAGUUGUGCCUCAACACGAGACCCCAGCUGCGGGGCACACGGGUGCCCCAGGCUGUGUAGUGCCACGGGGAGACUGGGCAGGUGACUGGGACAGGAGGACUUGCUGGAGGGCAGGCGGAGGCGUCGGGACCCAAGGGAGGACUGGGAGAGGGAACACGGCAGGGUGAGGUGCACCGCACAAGCUUUUGGGGUGCAAUGACAUCCCAAGGGCUCCUUGCAUUUCUGGAUCCAGUCUGGACUCAGGGCUACGGCCAGGCCCAGGUUGGUAGGGCAAGAGCGCCCCCUCUCUGCCAGAGGAAGGCUCACAUCCUGGGGAGAAGGGAGAAUUCCCUGGCCAGCCUGGCGCCCCUGCCGGCUCCCUUUCCCCGGAAGAGCUGCUGUCUCCUUGGCUCAGCUGCAGGUUCAAAGGGCUCUGCAGAUUCUGGGUCUCAGGGAAGAGAACUGAGGGACUGAGCGCUGGGUUGUGCCCGGGUGGGGGGUUCACCUAGUCCAUAACCACCACGGACAGGGCCACUCAGCCCUGGCGUCAGGCGUCCUGCUCCCCCCACCCCCACUCACAUUCCUACUGUGACCACCUACUGUGGAUUACUACGGCUGAAGUGACUCCCCCCCGACCCAACCGUUGCAGGACCAGGCUACGAUGUCCCCCACGGCCUGUGCCCUCCUUACACCCAGCCCCGGCACAGCCUUCCCCGGUGCACAAGGUGCACAAUCUGUGAAUGGGCACGGGGACCUCGGGGAACAGGGGGAGGCAGCCUGGGGAAACUGAGCUGGUGUUGGCGGGGCUGCGGGCAGGGUACAGGCGAGGACUGGAGGUCGACAUGUUACUUACAAACACAGAAGCUGCUGCCCCAGGGAGAGUGAAUGUGUGGUCAAGAGGCCCAGAUGCAGCCGAU